GCUUGCCCCUCUCUGCGAAUAUUCUUUGCAUCUAACUUUACUAUUAGUCUUUGUUUAGUUAUAAACGGGGCAAGAACCGAUGUUAAUCUUUUUUGCAAAUUGAUCAGUAAGAUCUGGCAGCUGAAUAACGAUGAUGAAAAAAAGUGUUAAUGGUAGUGAUGCGGGAAUGAACAUACUUGAAUGGAGAAUUGGAUAGAAUUGAUUCUGUUGCAAUAACAGAUACCAGUUAGAAGAUCCCAGACGCAUAAAAGACCAUCUUGAGAUCCACUACCAGAAGUCAUAGGACUCAUUCUAUCAAUGAAUAAACAAGAUAUAGGACCACAAUGACCAUGAAGAGUAUACAAUGAGUAUGAUCUUGACUACCAGUUAAAACACGACCACCCUCACUAUCGAGUACAGUUAUUGCCUGUUGAUGUGCUUUAUGAGAACCAAUUUUCAUACAACGAAGAUCUUCUUCAGAUUGUAUAAUGUUAUUUAUAUCCAUA